rnacentral:rRNA from 1 species
CCUACGGGAGGCAGCAGUGGAGAAUCUUGCGCAAUGGGCGAAAGCCUGACGCAGCAACGCCGCGUGCGGGAAGAAGGCUCUCGGGUUGUAAACCGCUUUCAGCAGGAACGAAAAUGACGGUACUUGCAGAAGAAGGUGCGGCCAACUACGUGCCAGCAGCCGCGGUGACACGUAGGCACCAAGCGUUGUCCGGAUUUAUUGGGCGUAAAGAGCUCGUAGGCGGUUCGGUAAGUCAGGUGUGAAAACUUUGGGCUCAACCCAAAGCCUGCAUCUGAUACUGCUGUGACUAGAGUUCGGUAGGGGAGCGGGGAAUUCCUAGUGUAGCGGUGAAAUGCGCAGAUAUUAGGAGGAACACCGGUGGCGAAGGCGCCGCUCUGGGCCGAAACUGACGCUGAGGAGCGAAAGCGUGGGUAGCAAACAGGAUUAGAUACCCUGGUAGUCCACGCCGUAAACGUUGGGCACUAGGUGUGGGUUUCAACCAACGAAAUCCGCGCCGUCGCUAACGCAUUAAGUGCCCCGCCUGGGGAGUACGGCCGCAAGGUUAAAACUCAAAGGAAUUGACGG